rnacentral:rRNA from 1 species
GUCGAACGCGAAAGGGUCCUUCGGGAUCUGAGUAGAGUGGCGUCCGGGUGAGUAACGCGUAGAUUAUCUACCUUCGGGUGGGGAAUAACUCAGGGAAACUUGAGCUAAUACCGCAUAACAUCGAAAGAUCAAAGCAGGGGAUCGCAAGACCUUGCGCCUGAAGAGGAGUCUGCGUCUGAUUAGCUAGUUGGUAAGGUAAUGGCUUACCAAGGCUUCGAUCAGUAGCUGGUCUGAGAGGACGGCCAGCCACAUUGGCACUGAAACACGGGCCAAACUCCUACGGGAGGCAGCAGUGGGGAAUUUUGGGCAAUGGGCGAAAGCCUGACCCAGCAAUGCCGCGUGAACGAUGAAGUCCUUCGGGAUGUAAAGUUCGGAAGUAAGGAACGAAAAGCUUUGGGAUAAUACCCCCAAGUGCUGACGGUACCUUAUCUAAGCCCCGGCUAACUACGUGCCAGCAGCCGCGGUAAUACGUAGGGGGCAAGCGUUGUUCGGAAUUACUGGGCGUAAAGCGCGUGUAGGCGGUUUGAAAAGCCAGAUGUGAAAGCCCCGGGCUCAACUUGGGAACUGCAUUUGAUACUGUCAGACUAGAGUACAGAAGAGGUGACUGGAAUUCCCAGUGUAGCGGUGAAAUGCGUAGAUAUUGGGAGGAACACCAGAUGCGAAGGCGGGUCACUGGGCUGAUACUGACGCUAAAGCGCGAAAGCCAGGGGAGCGAACGGGAUUAGAUACCCCGGUAGUCCUGGCCCUAAACGAUGGAUACUUGGUGUAUGGG